rnacentral:misc_RNA from 1 species
AAGUCGUAACAAGGUUUCCGUAGGUGAACCUGCGGAAGGAUCAUUACCGAGUUAGGGCCCUCUAGGGCUCGACCUCCUACCCUUUGUCUACCUUACCUUUUGUUGCUUCGGCGGACCCGUCCCUCAGGGGACCGCCGGAGAGCUCACGCUCUCUGGCCCGCGUCCGCCGGUGGCCCACAACCAAAACUCUUGUUUAAACGUGUCGUCUAAGUACAAAAAGAAAUAAGUAAAAACUUUCAACAACGGAUCUCUUGGUUCUG